rnacentral:rRNA from 1 species
AAUAGCGGCCACCACUCGAGCCGCCGCGGUAAUACCGGCUGCCCGAGUGAUGGCCACUAUUACUGGGUUUAAAGCGUCCGUAGCUUGACUGUUAGGUCUCUUGGGAAAUCUUCGCGCUCAACGUGAAGGCGUCUAAGAGAUACCGGCAGUCUUGGAACUGGGAGAGGUAAACCGUACUUCGGGGGUAGGAGUGAAAUCUUGUAAUCCUCGAGGGACGACCUAUGGCGAAGGCAGUUUACCAGAACAGCUUCGACAGUGAGGGACGAAAGCUGGGGGAGCAAACGGGAUUAGAUACCCCGGUAGUCCCAGCCGUAAACAAUGUGCGUUAGGUGUGUCGGUAACCACGUGUUACUGAUGCGCCGAGGAGAAAUCGUGAAACGCACCACCUGGGAAGUACGGUCGCAAGGCUGAAACUUAAAGGGAUUGGCGGGGGAGCACCACAACAGGUGGAGCCUGCGGUUUAAUUGGAUUCAACGCCGGG